rnacentral:rRNA from 1 species
UACGAAGGGGGCGAGCGUUAUUCGGAUUUAUUGGGCGUAAAGAGCAUGUAGGCGGCUGACCAAGUCUGGUGUGAAAACGCUACCGCUUAACGGAGCGAUUGCGCUGGAAACUGGUCAACUUGAGUCCGAGAGAGGUGGGCAGAAUACCUGGUGUAGCGGUGGAAUGCUUAGAUAUCAGGUAGAAUACCAGAGGCGAAGGCGGCCCGCUGGCUCGGUACUGACGCUGAGAUGCGAAAGCGUGGGUAUCAAACAGG